rnacentral:tRNA from 1 species
GGGAGCGCAUAGGUCCCGGUGGGCUUCGCGGACUUCAAAUCCGUUGGUGGGCUCCCUUCGGCGUCCACGGUGGGUUCGACUCCCAUGCGCUCCCGCCA